rnacentral:sRNA from 2 species
ACUCAACGCGAAUUUUUUUAUAAAAGGUGAGUCUAGUCUGCUAAAGCAAGCCUUUACAGGAUCCUUGAUCAGCUAGUUAGCCUUAAUCUUGUCUUACAAGAGUUU